rnacentral:rRNA from 1 species
AGAGUUUGAUCCUGGCUCAGAUUGAACGCUAGCGGGAUGCCUCACACAUGCAAGUCGAACGGCAGCACGGACUUCGGUCUGGUGGCGAGUGGCGAACGGGUGAGUAAUGUAUCGGAACGUGCCCAGUAGUGGGGGACAACGUUUCGAAAGGAACGCUAAUACCGCAUACGUCCUACGGGAGAAAGCAGGGGACCUUCGGGCCUUGCGCUAUCAGAUGAGCCUAGGUCGGAUUAGCUAGUUGGUGGGGUAAUGGCUCACCAAGGCGACGAUCCGUAACUGGUCUGAGAGGAUGAUCAGUCACACUGGAACUGAGACACGGUCCAGACUCCUACGGGAGGCAGCAGUGGGGAAUAUUGGACAAUGGGCGAAAGCCUGAUCCAGCCAUGCCGCGUGUGUGAAGAAGGUCUUCGGAUUGUAAAGCACUUUAAGUUGGGAGGAAGGGCAGUAAGCUAAUACCUUGCUGUUUUGACGUUACCGACAGAAUAAGCACCGGCUAACUCUGUGCCAGCAGCCGCGGUAAUACAGAGGGUGCAAGCGUUAAUCGGAAUUACUGGGCGUAAAGCGCGCGUAGGUGGUUCGUUAAAUUGGAUGUGAAAGCCCCG